GGGCGGAGGACUACCAUGCAAGUCGAACGGUAACAGAAAGCAGCUUGCUGCUUUGCUGACGAGUGGCGGACGGGUGAGUAAUGUCUGGGAAACUGCCUGAUGGAGGGGGAUAACUACUGGAAACGGUAGCUAAUACCGCAUAACGUCGCAAGACCAAAGAGGGGGACCUUCGGGCCUCUUGCCAUCGGAUGUGCCCAGAUGGGAUUAGCUAGUAGGUGGGGUAAAGGCUCACCUAGGCGACGAUCCCUAGCUGGUCUGAGAGGAUGACCAGCCACACUGGAACUGAGACACGGUCCAGACUCCUACGGGAGGCAGCAGUGGGGAAUAUUGCACAAUGGGCGCAAGCCUGAUGCAGCCAUGCCGCGUGUAUGAAGAAGGCCUUCGGGUUGUAAAGUACUUUCAGCGGGGAGGAAGGGAGUAAAGUUAAUACCUUUGCUCAUUGACGUUACCCGCAGAAGAAGCACCGGCUAACUCCGUGCCAGCAGCCGCGGUAAUACGGAGGGUGCAAGCGUUAAUCGGAAUUACUGGGCGUAAAGCGCACGCAGGCGGUUUGUUAAGUCAGAUGUGAAAUCCCCGGGCUCAACCUGGGAACUGCAUCUG
rnacentral:rRNA from 1 species